GAUAAGGGCGUUUAAUAGGGAAGUCUGGGCCAAUUGCCCCGCAGCCCCCGCUGCCGUUUCAGCGGCGCACGCUUUUCACUGCUUUGAAGUGGGAAGGGAAGCGCGCAUAAAACCGCUGUUGUAAGCCGGAAGACCUGCCGCUUGCGCU
rnacentral:ncRNA from 1 species